UACGUAGGGGGCAAGCGUUGUCCGGAAUCAUUGGGCGGAAAGGGCGUGUAGGCGGUCCGCUAAGUCUGAUGUGAAAGCCCGAGGCUUACCCUCGGAAGUGCAUUGGAGACUGGCGGACUGGAGUCCCGGAGAGGAGGGUGGAAUUCCUGGUGUAGCGGUGAAAUGCGUGGAUAUCAGGAGGAACACCAAUGGCGAAGGCAGCUCACUGGGACGGUAUUGACGCUGAGACGCGAAAGCGUGGGGAGCAAACAGG
rnacentral:rRNA from 1 species